AAGUUUUGACUUCCAUAAGCUAAUUUUUUUAUAUACAAGUUUCAGCGUACAUAAUCUUCAAAACUACUCAUAAGUUAUUUGACAUAGGACCUAGGCUAAUCCUUGAUGUUACACCAGAAAAGUUUGAGAAAUUCUCAUUUGAUCCAUUGGACUUUGGGAUUCCUCGGUGUACCCUGGAUGACUUGCGAGGUGGAGGCCCAGAGUAUAAUGCCGAGGCACUAAAGGGUGUAUUGUCAGGGGAGAAAAGUUCAAUUGCAGAUGCAUUUAUCUUAAAUGCAGCAGCAGCGCUCUUGGUUGGGAUGGGGAGGCUAGCAACGCAAGGAGGGAUGGCGGGUUGGUUUCAUGUUCGGCGAAGCUGGGUUCAGCGAUGGGGUUUAGGCU